rnacentral:rRNA from 1 species
UGGGGAAUAUUCCGCAAUGGACGAAAGUCUGACGGAGCAACGCCGCGUGAGUGAUGAAGGUUUUCGGACUGUAAAGCUCUGUUGUUUAGGACGAAAGUGCCUGUUGCGAACAGUUACAGGUAUUGACGGUACUAAACGAGGAAGCCACGGCUAACUACGUGCCAGCAGCCGCGGUAAUACGUAGGUGGCAAGCGUUGUCCGGCAUUAUUGGGCGUAAAGAGCAUGUAGGCGGAGAUUUAAGUCUGUUGUGAAAAUGCGGGGCUCAACCCCGUAUUGCGAUGGAAACUGAAUUUCUUGAGUGCAGGAGAGGAAAGGGGAAUUCCCAGUGUAGCGGUGAAAUGCGUAGAUAUUGGGAGGAACACCAGUGGCGAAGGCGCCUUUCUGGACUGUGUCUGACGCUGAGAUGCGAAAGCCAGGGUAGCGAACG